rnacentral:rRNA from 1 species
GAUGAACGCUGGCGGCGUGCUUAACACAUGCAAGUCGAACGGAAAGGCCCUGAUUUUGUGGGGUUCCCGAGUGGCGAACGCGUGAGGAUCACGUGUGUAUCCUGCCCUUGUCUUUCGGAUAACUUCACGAAACUGGGGCUAAUAUCGGAUAGGAGCUCCUGCUCCAUGGUGGGGGUUGGAACGUUUCGGCUGUUGGGGAUGGACUCGCGGCUUACCAGCUUGCUGGUGGGGUAGUGGCUUACCCAGGCUUUGACGGCUAGGCGGCAUGUGAGGGUGAACGGCCACAAUGGGACUAAGAUACGGCGCAGUCUCGUACGGGAGGCAGCAGUGGGGAGUAUUACACAGUGAGCGGGAGCCUGAUACGAAGGCGCCGGGUGCGGAAAGCCGGCCUUCGGGUUAAGAACCGCUGUCGCCUGAGACGAAGCGUGAGUGACGGUAAUGAAUAAAGAAGCACCGGCUAACUACGUG